GAUAAUCAACAAGGGUAUAUGGUGUGUUCCAUAACGCGCUAGCAGAAGUCCACGAGUUUCAAGUCGUCUUGGUUUGAACGCUUGUUAUGGGCAUUUUACACGCGUUCAUUACAUUUACAGGCACAACAUGAUGGUAAACCCAGGGAGUUAUUUCAGAACAUGGAAGAACGCUUCAGGAAACAGUGCUUCGAAAGUGGAAAAGCUGAAAAAGUUUAAGAACCCCUGCAAUAGAGAAUGGAGAAUAAGAUCUGGCUGUUGCAGUACCCAGAUGAGGUGAGAGGAAACUGCUACAGAGAUAAAAAGAUCCUUGGUCAAUAGAUCCCGGACCCAACCCCCCACCGGUCCGCCAUCGGCCCACUGACGGACACCACCCCGACGAACCCCCGCACGCAGCGCAGAAACUCUGGACGCGUGGCGGGCCCUUCUCGCGGAUCUCCCCAACUACGGCGCUCGCCGGCCCCACACAUUGUAGGAAAUGUCAAGUACUCAAGCAUCUGCAGACCAGCGAGGAGGAAGAGGAAAGCCUAUAGAACAAGAAUUACUAGGUAUUGCUAAAUAAGCUGCUUUUCCGGAAAAUGUCUAUCUGAUAAAGCUACACUUCUAGCUUUCUUUUUCUAGAACUUUUUUUCUAUCUAGAACUUGAAAAGUUAUUCAGCU